rnacentral:lncRNA from 1 species
CACAGGGUCAGCCUUCUCUCGGGUUGAUCCUCUCAGCCCAAGGACUUCUGAGCACUGAAAAUGAAGCUGCAGGAGGAAUCAAGGAAAAAAAAAAGUGGCAUAGAUAUCCCUGCCCUUGGAUGCCUUUUGACUUGUCUUCUCUCCAAAUCACAGAAUUGCUGCUGGCAGAGGGGACCUUAAUGCCACCUAGACCCACUCCCAUUGCACGGGAAUGCUUUCAGAGGAGUCAAGCCUUGCAGCCUCUUCCUUGACAUUCAAACCAGAGCAGAGCCUGACAGGAAUCACUCACAUCUGGUCCACAUGGCAUCAGCUGAGAUGGCUCCAAUCAAGACUGGACAAUCCACUUUCAAUACAGAUCACCCACAUGGCUGGCAGGUUACUGCUGGCUGCUGGCUGGCUGCUCAGCUGGUCUGGGGCCUGGGCGUGAGGGGCCUUGCUUCCUCUCCGGUGGGCUUCUCCUCAGCUGCUUGGGUUUCCUCACUGGAGGAUGGCUGAGGUCCCAGAGCAAAUGUCCCAAGAGAUCCAGACAAAAGGGGGUGGUGCUUUUAUGCUCUAUCCUUGGAAUCACAUAGCAUACAAUUCCAUUGCACCUUGUUAGUUGAGGGGGUCACAAAGUUCCACCCAGGUUAAAAGGAAGGGGACAUAGAUUGCACCCAUGGGGUAGUGGCACGGUCAUGUUGUAAGAUGAGCAUGUGGGAUGAGAGAGGUUCUUAUAUUCUAAAGUCAGUAUUUACCUCUUUCAUUAACAAAGACCUUGAAACACAUUGUCUUCCACAUGUCCCCUAUGCUCUUUGUAUAUAUUUAGUUGAAUGCUUUUAUUUUGCUUGGUUUUACCCC